rnacentral:rRNA from 1 species
UGAACGCUAGCUACAGGCUUAACACAUGCAAGUCGAGGGGCAUCAGGAAGAAAGCUUGCUUUCUUUGCUGGCGACCGGCGCACGGGUGAGUAACACGUAUCCAACCUGCCCUUUACUCGGGGAUAGCCUUUCGAAAGAAAGAUUAAUACCCGAUAGUAUAAUGAUUCCGCAUGGUUUCAUUAUUAAAGGAUUCCGGUAAAGGAUGGGGAUGCGUUCCAUUAGGUUGUUGGUGAGGUAACGGCUCACCAAGCCUUCGAUGGAUAGGGGUUCUGAGAGGAAGGUCCCCCACAUUGGAACUGAGACACGGUCCAAACUCCUACGGGAGGCAGCAGUGAGGAAUAUUGGUCAAUGGGCGCUAGCCUGAACCAGCCAAGUAGCGUGAAGGAUGAAGGCUCUAUGGGUCGUAAACUUCUUUUAUAUAAGAAUAAAGUGCAGUAUGUAUACUGUUUUGUAUGUAUUAUAUGAAUAAGGAUCGGCUAACUCCGUGCCAGCAGCCGCGGUAAUACGGAGGAUCCGAGCGUUAUCCGGAUUUAUUGGGUUUAAAGGGAGCGUAGGUGGACUGGUAAGUCAGUUGUGAAAGUUUGCGGCUCAACCGUAAAAUUGCAGUUGAUACUGUCAGUCUUGAGUACAGUAGAGGUGGGCGGAAUUCGUGGUGCAGCGGUGAAAUGCUUAGAUAUCACGAAGAACUCCGAUUGCGAAGGCAGCUCACUGGACUGCAACUGACACUGAUGCUCGAAAGUGUGGGUAUCAAACAGGAUUAGAUACCCUGGUAGUCCACACAGUAAACGAUGAAUACUCGCUGUUUGCGAUAUACAGUAAGCGGCCAAGCGAAAGCAUUAAGUAUUCCACCUGGGGAGUACGCCGGCAACGGUGAAACUCAAAGGAAUUGACGGGGGCCCGCACAAGCGGAGGAACAUGUGGUUUAAUUCGAUGAUACGCGAGGAACCUUACCCGGGCUUAAAUUGCAGUGGAAUGAUGUGGAAACAUGUCAGUGAGCAAUCACCGCUGUGAAGGUGCUGCAUGGUUGUCGUCAGCUCGUGCCGUGAGGUGUCGGCUUAAGUGCCAUAACGAGCGCAACCCUUAUCUUUAGUUACUAACAGGUUAUGCUGAGGACUCUAGAGAGACUGCCGUCGUAAGAUGUGAGGAAGGUGGGGAUGACGUCAAAUCAGCACGGCCCUUACGUCCGGGGCUACACACGUGUUACAAUGGGGGGUACAGAAGGCAGCUAGCGGGUGACCGUAUGCUAAUCCCAAAAGCCUCUCUCAGUUCGGAUCGAAGUCUGCAACCCGACUUCGUGAAGCUGGAUUCGCUAGUAAUCGCGCAUCAGCCACGGCGCGGUGAAUACGUUCCCGGGCCUUGUACACACCGCCCGUCAAGCCAUGGGAGCCGGGGGUACCUGAAGUACGUAACCGCAAGGAUCGUCCUAGGGUAAAACUGGUGACUGGGGCUAAGUC